CUUCUCAAACAGUUCCUCCAAC
rnacentral:piRNA from 1 species